rnacentral:misc_RNA from 1 species
GAUGAAGAACGUAGCGAAAUGCGAUAAAUAAUGUGAAUUGCAGAAUUCAGUGAAUCAUCGAGUCUUUGAACGCACAUUGCGCCCCCUGGUAUUCCGGGGGGCAUGCCUGUCCGAGAGUCAUUGCUGCCCUCAAGCACGGCUUGUGUGUUGGGCCCCCGUCCCCCCCUCCCGGGGGACGGGCCCGAAAGGCAGCGGCGGCACCGCGUCCGGUCCUCGAGCGUAUGGGGCUUUGUCACCCGCUCUGUAGGCCCGGCCGGCGCCUGCCGACCACCAUCAAUCUUUUUUCAGGUUGACCUCGGAUCAGGUAGGGAUACCCGCUGAACUUAAGCAUAUCAAUAAGCGGAGGA